rnacentral:rRNA from 1 species
UCGAGCGAGUCUGCCUUGAAGAUCGGAGUGCUUGCACUCUGUGAAACAAGAUACAGGCUAGCGGCGGACGGGUGAGUAACACGUGGGUAACCUGCCCAAGAGAUCGGGAUAACACCUGGAAACAGAUGCUAAUACCGGAUAACAACAGAUGAUGCCUAUCAACUGUUUAAAAGAUGGUUCUGCUAUCACUCUUGGAUGGACCUGCGGUGCAUUAGCUAGUUGGUAGGGUAACGGCCUACCAAGGCGAUGAUGCAUAGCCGAGUUGAGAGACUGAUCGGCCACAUUGGGACUGAGACACGGCCCAAACUCCUACGGGAGGCAGCAGUAGGGAAUCUUCCACAAUGGACGCAAGUCUGAUGGAGCAACGCCGCGUGAGUGAAGAAGGGUUUCGGCUCGUAAAGCUCUGUUGUUGGUGAAGAAGGACAGGGGUAGUAACUGACCUUUGUUUGACGGUAAUCAAUUAGAAAGUCACGGCUAACUACGUGCCAGCAGCCGCGGUAAUACGUAGGUGGCAAGCGUUGUCCGGAUUUAUUGGGCGUAAAGCGAGUGCAGGCGGCUCGAUAAGUCUGAUGUGAAAGCCUUCGGCUCAACCGGAGAAUUGCAUCAGAAACUGUCGAGCUUGAGUACAGAAGAGGAGAGUGGAACUCCAUGUGUAGCGGUGAAAUGCGUAGAUAUAUGGAAGAACACCGGUGGCGAAGGCGGCUCUCUGGUCUGUUACUGACGCUGAGGCUCGAAAGCAUGGGUAGCGAACAGGAUUAGAUACCCUGGUAGUC